rnacentral:lncRNA from 1 species
UACGGUAUAAAAUGUUUUUCAAAGUACCCCAAACACCCCACGCUCUAGUGUGCAUGUCAGCACUAUGGUAUAUUUUCUUCUCAAAUUUGUUUGUUUCCUGUACAUAUUUAUCCCUAUAGGUAGCAUCAUGCUGAGUGUGAAGUUUCUCGCCCUCCUUUCUUUACUCUCCAUGAUAACAUGAGCAUUUUCUACAGGUGUAAGCUUGUGAGAAGCAGCUUUUUUCCUUGUUUAUUCCUUGAAUAUUUAUAGAUAUUUAUAGAUUGAAAGAAAACGGAAAGCAUUACUGUGUCUGUACUCUCACAGAAUAUUAUAAAAUGGUAUCUCCAUGCUUGACACAUCUCAGAAACACGCAAUUGGUGACAUAUGAAAAAUGUGGAGUGGGAAAAUCACACAAUUAGUAAAAUAUAUAGAAGGGUUAAAUUACAAAGACAUUUUUCUCCAGGUAUUACAAGCGUAAGCUCUGGACCUCUAUUCCUGGGCUCGAAUGCUAGGUCUGCUACUUACUGUUUGGGGGACUUAGAAAAGCAUCCUGCACUCUAUGACAUUCUAAUUCCCCAUUAUUACAUAAAAUGGGCCAAAAACCACAACCUUCCGGGUGAUCUUGCUGUAAGAAUGAAAUGCAAUUGUAUACGUAAAAUGCUUCAAGAGCCCUUGAUCCUUAGACGCGGGCUGUAG